rnacentral:rRNA from 1 species
GACGAACGCUGGCGGCGUGCCUAAUACAUGCAAGUUGAGCGCUGAAGGUUGGUACUUGUACCAACUGGAUGAGCAGCGAACGGGUGAGUAACGCGUGGGGAAUCUGCCUUUGAGCGGGGGACAACAUUUGGAAACGAAUGCUAAUACCGCAUAAAAACUUUAAACACAAGUUUUAAGUUUGAAAGAUGCAAUUGCAUCACUCAAAGAUGAUCCCGCGUUGUAUUAGCUAGUUGGUGAGGUAAAGGCUCACCAAGGCGAUGAUACAUAGCCGACCUGAGAGGGUGAUCGGCCACAUUGGGACUGAGACACGGCCCAAACUCCUACGGGAGGCAGCAGUAGGGAAUCUUCGGCAAUGGACGAAAGUCUGACCGAGCAACGCCGCGUGAGUGAAGAAGGUUUUCGCAUCGUAAAACUCUGUUGGUAGAGAAGAACGUUGGUGAGAGUGGAAAGCUCAUCAAGUGACGGUAACUACACAGAAAGGGACGGCUAACUACGUG